CAGUAGCCACGGGAAUACGUAGGUAGCAAGCGUUAUCCGGAAUUAUUGGGCGUAAAGCGCGCGUAGGUGGUUUUUUAAGUCUGAUGUGAAAGCCCACGGCUCAACCGUGGAGGGUCAUUGGAAACUGGAAAACUUGAGUGCAGAAGAGGAAAGUGGAAUUCCAUGUGUAGCGGUGAAAUGCGCAGAGAUAUGGAGGAACACCAGUGGCGAAGGCGACUUUCUGGUCUGUAACUGACGCUGAUGUGCGAAAGCGUGGGGAUCAAACAGGAUUAGAUACCCGUGUAGUCCCUGUCUCUUAUAC
rnacentral:rRNA from 1 species